GACGAACGCUGGCGGCGUGCCUAAUACAUGCAAGUCGAACGAGAGCGACCGGUGCUUGCACUGGUCAAUCUAGUGGCGAACGGGUGAGUAACACGUGGGUAACCUGCCCAUCAGAGGGGGAUAACAUUCGGAAACGGAUGCUAAAACCGCAUAGGUUCUUAAGUCGCAUGACUCGAGAAGGAAAAGAGGCUUCGGCUUCUGCUGAUGGAUGGACCCGCGGUGCAUUAGCUAGUUGGUGAGGUAACGGCUCACCAAGGCCGUGAUGCAUAGCCGACCUGAGAGGGUGAUCGGCCACAUUGGGACUGAGACACGGCCCAAACUCCUACGGGAGGCAGCAGUAGGGAAUCUUCCGCAAUGGACGCAAGUCUGACGGAGCAACGCCGCGUGAGUGAAGAAGGAUUUCGGUUCGUAAAACUCUGUUGUUAGAGAAGAACAGCGCAUAGAGUAACUGUUAUGCG
rnacentral:rRNA from 1 species